UUUAACGGCAGCGGUAUCCUGACCGUGCAAAGGUAGCGCAAUCAAUUGUCCCAUAAAUCGGGACACGUAUGAAUGGCUAAACGAGGUCUUAACUGUCUCUUACAGGCAAUCGGUGAAAUUGAUCUCCCUGUGCGAAAGCAGGGAUAACCACAUAAGACGAGAAGACCCUGUGGAACUUCAAAAACAGCGACCACCCCAACAUACAUUCACACCCACCCCGGGCGCACUUAUCCGUAAAGCACUGGUUCGCAUUUUUUCGGUUGGGGCGACCUUGGAGCAAAACAAAACCUCCAAAGAUUGGACCAUCCCUCCAGACUAAGAGCAACCUCUCAACGUGCCAACAGCACCCAGACCCAAUACAAUUGAUCAAUGGACCAAGCUACCCCAGGGAUAACAGCGCAAUCUCCUCCAAGAGUCCAUAUCGACGGGGAGGUUUACGACCUCGAUGUUGGAUCAGGACAUCCUAGUGGUGCAGGAGCUGCUAA
rnacentral:rRNA from 1 species